AUGUCCCUAAGCGUUCCUUCCAAGCACUUCACACAGAGCUUUUAUUUCUCUCACAUUGAUUGAGAACUUAAUUAGAAGCUUUUGUGAAGUGUUUGGGGGAACUCUUGGUGUCAC
rfam:Oryza meridionalis cultivar OR44 (W2112) chromosome 8, whole genome shotgun sequence.